rnacentral:rRNA from 1 species
GGGGAGGUUUGGCACCUCGAUGUCGGCUCAUCGCAUCCUGGGGCUGUAGUCGGUCCCCAAGGGUUGGGCUGUUCGCCCAUUAAAGCGGUACGCGAGCUGGGUUCAGAACGUCGUGAGACAGUUCGGUCCCUAUCCGUCGUGGGCGCAGGAAAUUUGAGAGGAGCUGUCCUUAGUACGAGAGGACCGGGAUGGACGCACCGCUGGUGUACCAGUUGUCUUGCCAAAGGCAUCGCUGGGUAGCUAUGUGCGGAAGGGAUAAGUGCUGAAAGCAUCUAAGCAUGAAGCCCCCCUCGAGAUGAGAUUUCCCAUAGCGUCAAGCUAGUAAGAUCCCUGAAAGAUGAUCAGGUUGAUAGGUCUGAGGUGGAAGCGUGGUGACACGUGGAGCUGACAGAUACUAAUAGAUCGAGGACUUAACCAC